rnacentral:rRNA from 1 species
UACGGCGGGGGCUAGCGUUGUUCGGAAUUACUGGGCGUAAAGCGGACGUAGGCGGACUGACCAGUUGGUGGUGAAAGCCCGAGGCUUAACCUCGGGACUGCCCUCCAUACUGUCAGUCUCGAGUCCGGGAGAGGUGGAUGGAAUUCCUAGAGUAGAGGUGAAAUUCGUAGAUACUAGGAAGAACACUAGUGGCGAAGGCGGCUCACUGGAACGCUACUGACGCUGAGGUGCGAAAGCGUGGGGAGCGAACAGG